rnacentral:rRNA from 1 species
GACGUAGGGCGCGAGCGUUGUCCGGAUUUAUUGGGCGUAAAGAGCUCGUAGGCGGCUUGUCGCGUCGACCGUGAAAACUCGCAGCUCAACUGCGAGCCUGCGGUCGAUACGGGCAGGCUAGAGUUCGGUAGGGGAGACUGGAAUUCCUGGUGUAGCGGUGAAAUGCGCAGAUAUCAGGAAGAACACCCGUGGCGAAGGCGGCUCACUGGCCCGGUACUGACGCUGAGGUGCGAAAGCGUGGGGAGCAAACAGG